rnacentral:lncRNA from 10 species
ACUGCGCCUUGCUGAAAAUGUGUAAUUUUAAAUGGUCUAAGAGCCACAUUAAGAAAGAAAAAGCAGGUAAAAUUAAUUUAAACAAUGUAUUUUAUUUAAAUUCAUAUCAAAAUUAUGAUUUCAACAUGUAAUCAAUAUUAAAAAUUAUUACUGGUAUUUUACAUUCUGUUUCAUACCAAGUCUUCAGAAUCCAGUGCGUACUUUACGCUUAGAACACAUCUUGAUUCCAACUAGCUACACUUCAAGGGCUCAACAGCCACAUAGGGCUCAGGACUAGUAUAUAAGAGACAGUUCAGGGCCAGUUAUUGGGUUCAAGCUUUUUAGCCCUAGACCCUUGGCUCAACUAUGAAUAGAAUGGGCAAAGCCUUCCUUUCUCUUCUUGUGCAUGCUUUCAACACACUCAGUCUUAGUGAUAAGAGACAGUCAUUCAGUACAUGGCAGUUUUCUGCCAUUUUAUUAGAUGCUUUGCAUAAUUAAAUGAGAGAAGAUAAUCUAAGUAAUCACCUAAUGAAAUCUAUUGUAGAAAUUCAAAAUCCCUUUUAAAAGUUAACCUGCAAUAUUAAAAACUCAGAAAUAUUAAUAAGAGUAUUCUAUGUAGGAGGCUUUUGAAAAACUCAUAGUUCUAUAGGAAAAUUAAGAUAAUUAAUAGACAAACAUAUCAUUUUUUUAGCUUAUUCUUUUGAUUUUUAGACUUAGAAAACAAAACAAGACAUACAGGCAUGUGUGUUGAGAUACAUACACCAGCUCAUCUGUUCACAGGUCAGUUUCAGGUGCUGAGCUGUUACUCUGCCCCAGUCUAACCAACUGCUACUCAAUUAUUAUUCCUAGGAAAAUUCCUGUCCCUGGAUAACAAGAGCAACCAUUUCCACAGUGCUUCAGGGAUUCGGUUUUUAGCCACAAAGCCAGGCAUUCAACCCAGCAACCUGAGCUACCACCUUAGCUGAAGAACAGCCACUGUGGAGUUCUUGCUGGCUGCAGCCUGUGUGCUCGCUCACACAUGGGCACAGUUCUGAGAUGAGUAUGCAAUUACCUUCUUUGCUGACAGCUCUGACAGAUAAAGGUCAUCCUCUACCACUUGCCAAAUUCAGGAAUCCCAGAACAACCUGAUUCAGAAGAAUGUGAAAGAGAGAAGGGAGUUUCAAGUCCUACCUACACAGUUCAAAAGCACAAAACCUUACCUGCUGCACUGCAGGAGGCAGAAGUGAGAGGCAAGAAGUAGGUAGGCAUAGAAAGAGAAUCUAGGAGAUGCUUUCCUUCUCUUGCGAAAGCCUGGAGGGGACCCAAAUUCCUUUAUUCUGCUUGGGCUUGGCUUGGCCCUUCUUCUCCCUACCCCCAUCUUUUCAGAAUCACCAGCUGCUGUGGUUUCUCCUUCCCUUUUAUCUUCAAAUUUCCUCCUUCCUGAACUACCAUGUUCCUAUCUUUGUGUUAAAGAUUCAUCAGAUGCUAAAGUCCACAGCUGCUAAAAAACAAAUAAACACAGCACACAAAUCAGGAUUUGAAUUACACAUUUAUUGUGAACAAUCAUUUGUUAGCCUAAAUGAGACCCUACACUGAUCGUAUCCAAUUACACAAAAGACUGCUGGUCAAAACACAUGCGCUGAAACCAACUCACCUACCUUAGCAGAAGUACUGGGAAUCUGACAGACCUGGGUUCCAAUCAUGCCUGCACCACUUACCUCCUGCCAAGGUAGGUGAUGCUUAUCCCUCAGACACUUGCUUUGCUCACCUGUAAAAGGGUCCAGGUGGCUUACUGCCCAGUUUCAUGCCUCCCUGGCCCCUACACCUCACCCUCUGUUCAAGCCAUAGUGAUUUUUCUCCUACUGACAGUUUAUUAAGGUACAAUUUGUUUAGAGUUUAUAAAGAAAUCAUAAGCAUAUGGUUUUUUAAACACUAAUAUUACUAUUCAUAAUAAUAGCUGACAUUUAAGCUCACCUUAUGGCCCAGGUACCCCAGGUGCAUUAUCUCCUGUAUUUCUGUCAAUUCCCUACGAUUUUACAGGUAAGAAAAGUGGUGAGAGAGGGGAUGUGAUUUGCCUUCCAAUGUCUACAGAGUGGCAAAUCUGGGACUCAAACCAAGUGUUCCUGACUCCAAGGUGUGGGAUGCUACCUCAGCUCCAUGGCACGGCCCCACCUGCAGUCUGGCUUGUGCCUAGUCACCCCUCAGGUCAUGGCAAAGACGGCACUUCUCCUAGGAAGCCUCCCUCCUCACCUAGGCUCAGUUCUCUGGUACUCUCCCAUCACUGUAUCUGUUAACUACCUGGUUUACUAAACUGAGUUAUAAACUCCACAAGAGCAGGGAUCAUCAUGUCUGCCAACCACAACUGUAACAAAUGUUUGUUGACUGAAUACAUGAGGGAAGCCUAAUUCAGAGGUGGCUGUGAGGAUUAAAUGAAAUCUAUGGGAAGCAGGAGUAAGCAGGAAGGCUAGCGAGCCCCUCACAGCUUAUAAGUACAGUGCUAGCUGUGUGAGACGAACAAGCAAAGGAAGAAGCUGACGCCCUAAUAAGUGCAAGGAGCUGUAGAGGUUACUUAGAAGACUUGGUCACUCUUCUAAAAAAGAAAAACCAAGGUAAAAAUGCACAAAAUAGCACAGAACAAGAAAAUAACCCCAGAAACCAAAGAUUUUCAGGACAGAAAUCGGAUGGGCUAAGUCUUAUCUAGAGCAGAGAGGGGUAUUGUGACUGGAGCCCAUGUUUCCUGCCCCCUAUCUAAGGCUCUUUCCAGAACACUACAGGCUUUGACAGGAAAUCUUGAGAGGAUCACAGGAGUUGCUACUUGACCCCACUGUCAGGAACCAGGUUGCAGACUGGCCUUAGGGAGGCUCAGGACAAGAGGCUGAGGCACAACUUUCCUCCAAGCCUCCCUAAUUCUGCCCCUUCACACUCCUACUGACCUGAAACCAGGUUGCUCUUGCAGAAAGCAAUUUCCCGGUGCAAACCUAAUCACCUUUUGAUACCAUUAAUCAGCCAUUUCCCCCCACCCAGGAUCUGACCAAGUCCCUGGAUUAAGCUGCAAAUGAAAUUUCCAGAUUUCAGCAAUUGUCGAAUCUUGAGAGAAGCAGCAACUCCAAGGUCUUCAUCCUGUUCUCCAUAUAGUGCCCAACUAUCCACUGCUCAGCUGUUCUAAAAUUCUUAAGCCUGAAUUUCUUACCAGUGUCUUCUGCAACCCAUUUGAACACCACUGAAAGAAGCAAUGGAAUGAAAACAGUGAGUCAACAACUAUGGCCUGGGCACCCACAAAAAAACACGCUCAUGCCCUAGAACCAUCUUGCUGGCAAACUCAUCUUUGGAGUACAGCAAACCUCUUCUUAACGGCUAAUUAUUGAACAAUAAUUACAAUAAGAAUCUUCGAUGUUUUUGCUACUUUUCUUACAGAGUUCAGAAGGUAUUUUCAGGAUGCUAAAAACUGUACUUAUAUAUAGGUAACCAGAAUUACAAUUCAGCCAUGCCAUAAGUUAAUGAAUUGAGUGAAAAACUGGCAAAAUGUUGACAAUUGUUGAAACUGGGUGUCAGGCACAUGGGGGGUUCAUUUUACUAUUGCCUCUACUUUUGUCUGUAUUUAAUAUUUUCAUCAAUAAAUAGUUUAAAAAUGAAAGUUCAAAAAAGUCAUUUUGGGACUACCUGACAUCCUUAACCAUAUUGUUCCUAUGGAAUUCAGGAAGCAC